rnacentral:tRNA from 2 species
CCGCCCAUAGCUCAGGUGGUAGAGCAUCCGCCUUUUAAGCGGUUGGUCGUUGGUUCGAGUCCAACUGGGCGGA